GCUGCGUGUGGUGCUGUGCACCUGUAAUCCCAGCUAUCUGGGAGGCUGAGGCAGGAGGAUCCCAAGUUUAAGGCCAGCCUGGGCAACUUGUGAGACCCUGUCUCAA
rnacentral:sRNA from 1 species